rnacentral:rRNA from 1 species
GCGAAAAGUANGCACCUCCCAAUGGUAGAAAUCCUCGAAGAGGAGAUAUACACGUACAUAAUGAAGUGGCAUCACUUAUAUAUAGCUCCGGCGGUUUUGGAUGGGCGUGCGCCUGAUUAGUAUUUGCGGGUAACGGCCACAGCUGCGAUCAGUACUGGUGUGAGAGCACGACCAGUCACACGGCCACUGAAACACGGGCCGAUCUACGGGAGGCAGCAGUAAAGGAAUAUUGGUCAAUGGACGAAAGUCUGAACCAGCCAUGCCGCGUGAAGGAUGAAGGCCCCCUGGGUUGUAAACUUCUUUUAUCUGGGACGAAAAAAGGGCUUUCUAGCUCACUUGACGGUACCAGAGGAAUAAGCACCGGCUAACUCCGUGCCAGCAGCCGCGGUAAUACGGAGGGUGCAAGCGUUAUCCGGAUUUACUGGGUUUAAAGGGUGCGUAGUGGGUGGUAAGUCAUGGUGAAAUCUUCGAGCUUAACUCGGAAACUGCCAUUGAUACUAUCAAUCUUGAAUUAUCUGGAGGUAAAGCGGAAUAUGUCAUGUAGCGGUGAAAUGCUUAGAUAUGACAUAGAACACCCAUUGCGAAGGCAGUUACUACGGA